rnacentral:rRNA from 1 species
CAGCCGCCACGGUAACACCGAGGGUGCGAGCGUUAAUCGGAUUUACUGGGCGUAAAGCGUGCGUAGGCGGCUUCUUAAGUCGGAUGUGAAAUCCCUGAGCUUAACUUAGGAAUUGCAUUCGAUACUGGGAAGCUAGAGUAUGGGAGAGGAUGGUAGAAUUCCAGGUGUAGCGGUGAAAUGCGUAGAGAUCUGGAGGAAUACCGAUGGCGAAGGCAGCCAUCUGGCCUAAUACUGACGCUGAGGUACGAAAGCAUGGGGAGCAAACAGGAUUAGAUACCCGAGUAGUCCCUGUCUCUUAUAC